rnacentral:rRNA from 1 species
ACUCCUACGGGAGGCAGCAGUAGGGAAUCUUCCACAAUGGGCGCAAGCCUGAUGGAGCAACACCGCGUGAGUGAAGAAGGGUUUCGGCUCGUAAAGCUCUGUUGUUAAAGAAGAACACGUAUGAGAGUAACUGUUCAUACGUUGACGGUAUUUAACCAGAAAGUCACGGCUAACUACGUGCCAGCAGCCGCGGGGAAUACGUAGGUGGCAAGCGUUAUCCGGAUUUAUUGGGCGUAAAGAGAGUGCAGGCGGUUUUCUAAGUCUGAUGUGAAAGCCUUCGGCUUAACCGGAGAAGUGCAUCGGAAACUGGAUAACUUGAGUGCAGAAGAGGGUAGUGGAACUCCAUGUGUAGCGGUGGAAUGCGUAGAUAUAUGGAAGAACACCAGUGGCGAAGGCGGCUACCUGGUCUGCAACUGACGCUGAGACUCGAAAGCAUGGGUAGCGAACAGGAUUAGAUACCCUGGUAGGAUAG